ensembl:lncRNA
AUGGACGCAGCUCUGGCCCCGUUGCGCCUCCAGGGCGUUCGUGUGUUGAAUUACUUGGACGAUUGGCUGGUGCUAGCUCAAUCACAGACUCAAGCACUCUCUCACCGAGAUUUAGUGCUGAAUCAUUUAAGCAGCCUGGGCUUAUGCACGAAUUUCCAGAAGAGUGUUUUAAUCCCCUCUCAACGGAUAACCUUUCUGGGAAUAGAUUUGGACUCUCGCGCGAUGACAGCCAGACUAUCUCUCCCGCGCGUUCAGUCUCUCACGUCAUGCGUGCGUCACUGCAAAGUAGGCCGCACAGUGACGGUGAGUUUGUGUCUCAGGCUGUUAGGUCUGAUGGCAGCGGCAUCCCCUGUAAUUCGUCUGGGCUUACUUCACAUGCGCCCUUUUUCAGUGGUGGACGAAAAGGUCAGAACAUUUCACCCCGUUGUUUUUCCGCAUCGUACGAUUUCGGUGACACGGAGGUGUGUUAUGUCAAUAAAACAGUGGAUGUCAACCGAGUUCCUUCUAGCCGGAGUUCGGCUGGGGAUUUGUGCUUCCCGAGAGACUGUCACGACGGACGCGUCUUUGACCGGUUGGGGAGCUGUUUGUCAAGGGCGCCCAGCUCAUGGAGUGUGGACAGCGACACAGCGCGGUUGGCACAUAAACAGGUUGGAACUACUGGCAGUUUUUCUAGCUCUCCAGUAUUUCUCAAAUCUGCUGACCGGCCGUCAUGUACUACUCAGGUCAGACAACAUGGCGGUUGUGUCAUACCUGAAUCAUCAAGGAGGGUUACGCUCUCGCCCCCUGUGCAGGCUGGCGAGGAGUAUUCUUCUUUGGUCUCGGAACAGAUUUCUAUCGAUCCGAGCAGUUCAUGUCCCCCGGACGUUUGAACGUCGGAGCGGAUCUGCUAUCCAGACAGACUCUGGAGCAGGGGGAAUGGAGAUUACACCCACAGACGGUGAGCCUUUUAUGGCAGAUAUUCGGAGAGGCGAGAGUGGACUUAUUCGCGUCGAGCACGACUACGCAUUGCCCGCUGUGGUUCUCCCUAUGCCCUCCAUCGCCCCUAGGCUUGGAUGCGUUAGCUCACGAUUGGCCCAGGACCAGCUUGUAUGCUUUUCCUCCAAUUCGUUUAAUUCCAGCGGUGUUGUCCAGGAUACGGCUGGACAGAGUGGAGCAGCUGCUGCUGGUGGCUCCGUGGUGGCCCACACAGCCGUGGUUUGCGGAACUGGUCAGUCUAAUAGUGGGCUCUCCAUGGGAGAUUCCCCUCAGACAGGACUUACUAUCGCAAGCACGAGGGAUGAUUUGGCACCCGAGGCCAGAUCUGUGGAAACUGUGGGCGUGGCCUCUGAGCGGAGUGAGUUAAUAUGUCCCGGUCUUUCUGCGGAAACCUCCGAGACUAUUAUGAAUUCCAGAGCAGCAUCUACGAGACGCUUAUAUGCUUUCAAAUGGAAGCUGUUUACGACCUGGUGUGGUUUUCGUAGUAUAGACCCAGUUUACUGCCCAGUGGCUUCAGUACUGGAGUUCCUUCAAGACCGUUUCUCUGAUGGAGUAACGCCAGCAACUUUGAAGGUUUAUGUGGCAGCCAUUUCAGCUAACCACGUAUAUAUGGAUGGUGCUUCAGUGGGCCGUCAUCCGCUGGUCUCUCGCUUUUUACAAGGUGCGCGACGGCUGAGGCCUUUCCGCCCUGUGCGAGUUCCCUCAUGGGAUUUAUCUAUUGUACUGCAAGGUCUAUCAGGACAUCCGUUUGAGCCCUUGGAAACCGUGCCGGAUAAAAAUCCUGACCUUGAAGACAGUUCUUCUUAUGGCCUUAUCCUCCCUCAAGAGAGUUGGGGAUUUACAGGCUCUUUCUGUUUCGCCGUCGUGCAUGGAUUUUUGCACCAGGCUUUGUGA